rnacentral:rRNA from 1 species
AUUGAACGCUGGCGGCAGGCCUAACACAUGCAAGUCGAGCGAGCGGCGGACGGGUGAGUAAUGUCUGGGAAACUGCCUGAUGGGGGGGGGUAACUAGUGGAGACGGUAGCUAAUACAGCAUACCAUCAGAUGUGCCCAGAUGGGAUUAGCUAGUAGGUGGGGUAACGGCUCACCUAGGAGACGAUCCCUAGAUGGUCUGAGAGGAUUACCAGCCACACUGGAACUGAGACACGGGCCAGACUCCUACGGGAGGCAGCAGUGGGGAAUAUUGCACAAUGGGCGCAAGCCUGAUGCAGCCAUGCCGCGUGUGUGAAGAAGGCCUUCGGGUUGUAAAGCACUUUCAGCGGGGAGGCGUUACCCGCAGAAGAAGCACCGGCUAACUCCGUGCCAGCAGCCGCGGUAAUUC